AGCAGGAGGGAGAGAGACAGAAAGAGAGCCGGGAGCAACAACAAGAGACAACAUCGUCACAUUAGAAAGGUAUGGUAAAGAAAAUGAGUGACACCAAGAAAAGAAGCAAAAUCUGGAACCAUUUCAAUUUUAUUGAAAAUACAAAGGCAGAGUGUAGAGUCUGCAAGAAAAGGAUAUCAUAGAGCCGGCUCCACAAACAACAUGCCAGGCACCUGAGAACUGUCCACCCAUCAGUGCAAUGGGAAGAUAAAACACAGGUGGUGAUCCAAAUCAGUGUGGAGCAGAAUGCACCACAGAGAUGUACAACUCUCCUGUUGAACAUCUCAAGACUGAAGACUGCAUGGAAAGAACGCUAAUCUACACUGAGCAUCUGAAGAACAACAUGCAAGUCCUCAAACACAUUGGAUCCAAAAUCUGUUCCAGUUCCUCAGACACCAUCAGAGACUGUUUUGAAAGCCCUCUACUAUCAAGUCUGGAUAAAAAGAAACUUUGUCAACCACUGCAAGUAUCAAGUGUUUUAAAUUUUGUUUGACUGUUUAUUAUGUACUUAUUUGUUUUUGGUUGUAUUAAGUUUGAUAUUAAUUAGAUCAGUGCCUUUUUAGUCAUUAAUUUGAUUAUUAAAUAUUAACUGUUUAAUUUAAUCAUUGUCUCUAUUGGUUUUUAUUAAUGUUUCUAGCAAAUUACAGGGAGUGCAGAAUUAUUAGGCAAAUGAGUAUUUUGUCCACA